rnacentral:lncRNA from 1 species
GAAAUCUCGGGCAUUCACCGUUUGGGUGAAGACGGAGGCGGGUUCUGGACAGACGUAGGCUGUCAGGGAGUGUUUACUUCGCCUCCACUUCUGUUCCUCCCUGCCCUGGUGCUGCUCCAGGUCACAUACUCGUCCUGAGCCGGCUUCAGCCUGUCCGCGCAGAAGUCUCCCGGAGCCAUGGCCUAGUACUCUUAUGUGAAGUCUAGCAAGCUCGUGCUCAAGGGAACCGAGGUGAAGAGCUGGGUCCUGCAGCUCUGGUGGGAGCCUCCUCAGUUCUUUUCGGAUGCACUCCACCCCCGCGAAUCCGGUGGAAGCCGUGGUGCAGAGAGCCGGCUUUGUGGCCUCCCAGGCUUCGCUCUGACCCUGUCUGGGCUGGACGGAGGCCGGACCGCGGUUCCUGGCGCCUGUGCAGAGAGGGGCAGCCUCCCGUGCUGACGACCCUGGAAACAGGAUAGACGGGCGGGUGACCCGUGGCCCCGUACCCACGAGUUUGGGUCCCCUGAGGCAUCUCUCCAGGCCUCUGCCUGUUCCUCCUGGCCUCCGUGAUAAACAGGGGUUUUGAUAUUGUUAGGCGAGAUGGAAAGAAAGUAUCAAGGAGUGAGCUGAAGCCACUGCCCUUGAGAACCCUCUCGAGGAGUCUGGCCUCAUGAAGAUGCCAGAAUAAGUGGCAGAGCUAAGAAGUGACAGAAUCAGGAUUUAAAAUCUGGCAGUGUGGCUCUACAAUCUGCUUUGAACUUUAACAUAAUAUGUACAAAGCCUGAAGCAAAUUCUCAGUACUGUAAGAAGAAAAAGAGCAAAGAUAAGAAGAGAAAAAGAGAAGAUGAAGAAACCCAGCUUGAUACGUUGGAAUCUGGUGAACAGUAACAAACUUUGGUGAAAUUUCAGGAACCAUAGCCAUUGAAAUGGAUGAGGGAACCUAUAUACAUGCACUCGACAAUGGUCUUUUUACCCUGGGAGCUCCACACAAAGAAGUCCAGAGCAGUUUAUGGCUGUCAAAUUAUCUGAUUCCAGAAUCGCCCUGAAAUCUGGCUAUGGAAAAUAUCUUGGUAUAAAUUCAGAUGAACUUGUUGGGCAUUCAGAUGCAAUUGGACCAAGAGAACAAUGGGAACCAGUCUUUCAAAAUGGGAAAAUGGCUUUGUUGGCCUCAUUAGAUCCUGUGCUGAAAAAGAAACCAAGAAAAAAGAUGACAUUCCAGAAGAAGACAAAGGAAAUGUAAAACAAUGUGAAAUCAAUUAUGUAAAGAAAUUUCAGAGCUUCCAAGACCACAAACUUAAAAUAAGUAAAGAAGAGAGUAAAAUUCUUAAAAAGGCUCAGAAAGAUGGAUUUUUGCAUGAGACGCUUCUGGACAGGUAGAACCAAAUUGAAAGCCGACAGAUACUGCAAAUGACUGGAAUUUUUGUUUCUGCCUUAUCUUUUUGUGUUUUUUUUUUCUGAGUCUCAGUCAUAGCCUGCCUUCAUCUCUGAAGGGACCAGGCGACCCAUGGAGUGCCUCGGCAGCCUCGUCAUUGCAUGCAAUCUUCACAGACAAGAUCUCACUGCAACCACGUUUCUACAGGAGCACAGGUGUGACAUUAUACUGAUGACAUCAUUCUCAGAGAAAAUUCAUUUUACAUACUAAGGACACACAGAUACAAGCCUCUCCUCAACACAGUAGUGCAAGGCCCUGCCACUUUGCUUCAAUUCCUGAAAAUUCCUUGGUAAACUUGGGGCUGCUCUAUUCCUGACACUUUCAAAAAACAGUUAUUCAUCCUCUCAGCAUCCACAAUGUUAAUACAAACCCAACAUUCUUCAAUUUGUGUUUUGUUUUUUGG